rnacentral:lncRNA from 1 species
UUCCCAAAAGGUGACCGGGACCCCCCCCAGGACACUCUGGACACGUCUCCGGACACUCCGGACACGUCUCCGGCCGCUCCGGACAGCGCCGGAGCCACCAUCUACGCCCAGGUGCAGAAGCCCAAAGGAACCGUCCCUGAUGCCACCACCAUCUACGCCGUGGCCACCGGGCCGCUCCUCGGAGCCCCCCGGAGCCUCCCGGAUGAGCCCCCACAGGGACGCCAUCCUCUGUCCCAGGUAAGGGGGGGGAUCGUCCCCAACCCCGCCCUUGGGGGCACCCCCCGGGUCAAAUUCGGUCCCCCCCCAAAAUUUGUGUCCCCUCCAAGGAGCCCACCACGGUUUACGCCAGCGUGACUCUGCCGGUGGCCUGAGCCUCUCCUGGAAUCCCG